rnacentral:rRNA from 1 species
AAACGACUCUCGGCAACGGAUAUCUCGGCUCUCGCAUCGAUGAAGAACGUAGCGAAAUGCGAUACUUGGUGUGAAUUGCAGAAUCCCGUGAACCAUCGAGUCUUUGAACGCAAGUUGCGCCCGAAGCCUUGGCUGAGGGCACGCCUGCCUGGGCG